AGAGUUUGAUCCUGGCUCAGAAUAAAUGCUAUUGGUAUGCUUAACACAUGCAAGUUGAAUGUUUAAUUAUUUAGACAUAGCGAACGGGUGAGUAACGCGUGAAUUAUCUACCUUUUAAUUCAGAAUAAUUAUUUUAUAUAAAAAUACUGAAUAAAUAAAAUAAAGUUUAAAAAACGUUAAAAGAUGAGUUUGCGUAAGAUUAGGUAGUUGGUAGUUUAAAAGACUACCAAGCCGACUAUCUUUAGCUGGUUUGAAAGAAUGAUCAGCCACAUUGGGACUGAGACACGGCCCAAACUUUUUUAAAGGCAGCAGUGAGGAAUUUUGGACAAUGAGCGAAAGCUUGAUCCAGCAAUACCAAGUGAGUGAAGAAGGCUAAUUAGGUUGUAAAGCUCUUUCAUUAAGGAGGAAAAUGACAGUACUUAAAGAAGAAGUUCCGGCUAAUACCCGUGCCAGCAGCCGCGGUAAUACGGGAGGAGCGAGCAUUAUUCGGAAUGAUUAGGCGUAAAGGGUUUGUAGGUGGUUUUUUAAGUUGAAAAAAACAAAUUAAAGCUCAACUUUAUAAAUUUUUUCAAAACUGAAAAACUUGAGUAUAAAUAGAGGAUAAUGGAAUUUCUAUUGGAGGGAUAAAAUAUGUUGAUAAUAGAAGGAAGACCAAGAGCGAAGGCAAUUAUCUGGGUAUAUACUGACACUGAGAAACGAAAGCUUGGGGAGCGAACGGGAUUAGAGACCCCGGUAGUCCAUGCUGUAAACGAUGAGUGCUCAUAUUUAGAGUUUUUUAGAUAUCAAGCUAACGCGUUAAGCACUCCGCCUGAAAAGUAUAAUCGCAAGAUCGAAAUUCAAAGGAAUUGACGGGAGCCUACACAAGCGGUGGAGCAUGUGGUUUAAUUCGAUAAUACGCGCAGAACCUUACCAACUCUUGCAA
rnacentral:rRNA from 1 species